AUACGGAGGACGCGAGCGUUAUCCGGAUUCAUUGGGUUUAAAGGGUGCGCAGGCGGCCGUGCAAGUCAGCGGUGAAAGCCCGGGGCUCAACCCCGGAAGUGCCGUUGAUACUGCGUGGCUGGAAUGCGGUCGAGGCGGGCGGAACGUGGCGGGUAGCGGGGGAAUGCGGAGAUAAGCCACAGAACGCCGAUAGCGGAGGCAGCUCGCCAGGCCUGCAUGGACGCUCGGGCACGAAAGCGUGGGGAUCGAACAGGAUUAGAUACCCUGGUAGUCCACGCAGUAAACGAUGAUGGCUAACCGCUGGUUUAUUCGGAUCAGUGGCCAAGCGAAAGCGAUAAGCCAUCCACCUGGGGAGUACGACCGCAAGGUUGAAACUCAAAGGAAUUGACGGGG
rnacentral:rRNA from 1 species